rnacentral:rRNA from 1 species
UGUCCACCCUUCGGGGUGGUCUACUAGUGGCGGACGGGUGAGUAACGCGUUAGCAACCUGCCCAGAGGUGGGGAAUAACUAACCGAAAGGUUAGCUAAUACCGCAUGUGAUAGUCCUUCCCUGGAGGGACUAUGAAAGGCUUCGGUCGCCUUUGGAGGGGCUUGCGUCAGAUUAGCUAGUUGGUGGGGUAAUGGCCUACCAAGGCGACGAUCUGUAGCUGGUCUGAGAGGAUGGUCAGCCACACGGGGACUGAGAUACGGCCCCGACUCCUACGGGAGGCAGCAGCUAGGAAUCUUGGGAAUGGGCGAAAGCCUGACCCAGCAACGCCGCGUGGGCGAUGAAGGCCUUCGGGUCGUAAAGCCCUUUUGCAAGGGACGAUGAUGACGGUACCUUGCGAAUAAGCCACGGCUAACUACGUGCCAGCAGCCGCGGUAAUACGUAGGGGGCAAGCGUUAUCCGGAUUUACUGGGUGUAAAGGGAGCGUAGGUGGUUUGGUAAGUCAGAUGUGAAAGCCCGGGGCUCAAACCCGGGACUGCAUUUGAAACUAUCA